rnacentral:rRNA from 1 species
GUCUUUUUGUUAAUAAUUUAAAGUCUAAUCUGCCCACUGAUAUAUUUAUUAAAGGGCUGCAGUAUUUUGACUGUACAAAGGUAGCAUAAUCAUUAGUCUUUUAAUUGGUGACUUGUAUGAAAGAUUGGAUGAAAUAUAAACUGUCUCUUUUAUAAAAAAAAAAUUGAAUUUAAUUUUUUAAUUAAAAAGUUAAAAUUAUUUAAAAAGACGAGAAGACCCUAUAGAGUUUUAUAAUUUAUUUUGUAAAUAUUUUUAUUUUUAUACUUUUAUAAUUUUAAAUUAUUUUGUUGGGGUGAUAAAAAAAUUUAAUUAACUUUUUUUAAUAGUUUACAUUAAUAAGUGAUUAAAUGAUCCAAUUUUAUUGAUUAAAAGAAAAAAUUACCUUAGGGAUAACAGCGUAAUUUUUUUUUAGUUCAAAUAAAAAGAAAAGUUUGCGACCUCGAUGUUGGAUUAAGAUAAAAUUUAAAUGUAGAAGUUUAAAAUUUUGAUCUGUUCGAUCAUUAAAAUCUU